rnacentral:rRNA from 1 species
UACGUAGGGGGCAAGCGUUGUCCGGAAUCAUUGGGCGUAAAGCGCGUGUAGGCGGCCCGGUAAGUCCGCUGUGAAAGUCCAGGGCUCAACCCUGGAAUGCCGGUGGAUACUGUCGGGCUCGAGUCCGGAAGAGGCGAGUGGAGUUCCUGGUGUAGCGGUGAAAUGCGCAGAUAUCAGGAGGAACACCGAUGGCGAAGGCAGCUCGCUGGGACGGUACUGACGCUGAGACGCGAAAGCGUGGGGAGCAAACAGG